rfam:Camelus ferus unplaced genomic scaffold scaffold2149, whole genome shotgun sequence.
GAGGAUAUAGCUCAAGCGGUAGAGGGCAUGCCUAGCAUGCACAAGGUCCUGGGUUCAAUCCCCAGUAUCUCCU